AACGAACGCUGGCGGCAUGCCUCAUACAUGCAAGUCGAACGAGGUCUUCGGACCUAGUGGCGCACGGGUGAGUAACAUGUGGGAAUCUACCUGAAGGUUCGGAAUAACUGCGGGAAACUGUAGCUAAUACCGGAUGUGUCUGCAAAGAGAAAGAUUUAUCGCCUUCAGAUGAGCCCGCACUAGAUUAGCUAGUUGGUGAGGUAAUUGCUCCACCAAGGCUACGAUCUAUAGCUGAUUUGAGAGGAUGAUCAGCCACACUGGGACUGAGACACGGCCCAGACUCCUACGGGAGGCAGCAGUAGGGAAUAUUGGACAAUGGGGGAAACCCUGAUCCAGCAAUGCCGCGUGAGUGAAGAAGGCCUUCGGGUUGUAAAGCUCUUUCAUAAAUGAUGAUAAUGACAUUAGUUUAAGAAGAAGCCCCGGCUAACUUCGUGCCAGCAGCCGCGGUAAUACGAAGGGGGCUAGCGUUGUUCGGAAUCACUGGGCGUAAAGCGUAUGUAGGCGGAUCAAAAAGUUAGAUGUGAAAUCCCUGGGCUCAACCCAGGAACUGCAUUUAAAACUAGUGAUCUAGAAUUUGGUAGGGGUUAGUAGAAUUUCCAGUGUAGAGGUGAAAUUCGUAGAUAUUGGAAAGAAUACCAGUGGCGAAGGCGACUAACUGGGCCAUUUUUGACGCUGAGAUACGAAAGCGUGGGUAGCAAACAGGAUUAGAUACCCUGGUAGUCCACGCAGUAAACGAUGAGUGCUAGUCGCUGGGACAAUAGUUUCAGUGUCGAAGCUAACGCAUUAAGCACUCCGCCUGGGAAGUACGGUCGCAAGAUUAAAACUCAAAUAAAUUGACGGGGGCCCGCACAAGCGGUGGAGCAUGUGGUUUAAUUCGAAGCAACGCGAAGAACCUUACCAGACCUUGACAUGGUAUGUUUGAAUUACAGAAUCGUAAUUCUUCAGUUCGGCUGGCAUACACACAGGUGCUGCAUGGCUGUCGUCAGCUCGUGUCGUGAGAUGUUGGGUUAAGUCCCGCAACGAGCGCAACCCUCAUUUUUAGUUGCCAUCAGGUUAAGCUGGGCACUCUAAAAAAACUGCCGGUGAUAAGCUGGAGGAAGGCGGGGAUGACGUCAAGUCCUCAUGGCCCUUACGGUCUGGGCUACACACGUGCUACAAUGGUGGUGACAGUGGGCAGCAAUACUGCAAAGUAAAGCUAAUCCCAAAAAACCAUCUCAGUUCGGAUUGGACUCUGCAACUCGAGUCCAUGAAGUUGGAAUCGCUAGUAAUCGUAGAUCAGCGUGCUACGGUGAAUACGUUCUCGGGCCU
rnacentral:rRNA from 1 species